GACGGGGGGGGGCAAGUGUUCUUCGGAAUGACUGGGCGUAAAGGGCACGUAGGCGGUGAAUCGGGUUGAAAGUGAAAGUCGCCAAAAAGUGGCGGAAUGCUCUCGAAACCAAUUCACUUGAGUGAGACAAAGGAGAGUGGAAUUUCGUGUGUAGGGGUGAAAUCCGUAGAUCUACGAAGGAACGCCAAAAGCGAAGGCAGCUCUCUGGGUCCCUACCGACGCUGGGUGCGAAAGCAUGGGGAGCGAACAGG
rnacentral:rRNA from 1 species